UGAUAAGUUUUCAGUCUAAGCCUGAGGCUCAACUUCCAGAAAGGCAGGUAUAACUAUUAAGGCUCGAGCAUGUUGGGGAAGCUGGAAUUCUCGGUGAAGGGGUGAAAUCCGUAGAUAUCGAGAGGAACGCCAUACGCGAAGGCAAGCUUCUCAAACAUUCCUGACGCUCAUGGACGAAAGCUUGGGUAGCAAAAGGGAUUAGAGACCCCUGUAGUCCAAGCCGUAAACGUUCCUUGCUAGUUGUCCCUGCUUUAAGUGGGGGUGACGUAAGCUAACGCGUUAAGCAAGGCGCCUGGGGAGUACGACCGCAAGGUUAAAACUCAAAGGAAUUGACGGGGGAGCGCACAACCGGUGGAGCAUGUGGUUUAAUUCGAUACGAAGCGAAAAACCUUACCUGGACUUGACAUCCCACCUAUGUUUCUUACAAAAAUUUGAAACUUAGUGGUGGUGACAGGUGAUGCAUGGCUGUCGUCAGCUCGUGUCGUGAGACGUCCGCUUAAGUGCGGCAACGAGCGCAACCCUUAUCUUCAGUU
rnacentral:rRNA from 1 species